rnacentral:rRNA from 1 species
UACGUAGGGUCCGAGCGUUGUCCGGAGUUACUGGGCGUAAAGGGCGCGCAGGCGGCGGUGCUGGCCCGGCGUGAAAGCCCCCGGCUCAACCGGGGAGGGUCGUCGGGGACCGCACCGCUUGAGGGCGGUAGGGGCAGGUGGAAUGCCUGGUGUAGUGGUGAAAUGCGUAGAGAUCAGGCAGAACACCUGGGGCGAAGGCGGCCGGCUGGGCCGUCCCUGACGCUGAGGCGCGAAGGCGUGGGGAGCGAACGGG